CCUUGACAUACUAAGAACUUUCCAGAGAUGGAUUGGUGCCUUCGGGAACUUAGAUACAGGUGCUGCAUGGCUGUCGUCAGCUCGUGUCGUGAGAUGUUGGGUUAAGUCCCGCAACGAGCGCAACCCUUUUCCUUAUUUGCCAGCGGGUCAUGCCGGGAACUUUAAGGAUACUGCCAGUGACAAACUGGAGGAAGGCGGGGACGACGUCAAGUCAUCAUGGCCCUUACGGCCAGGGCUACACACGUGCUACAAUGGUCGGUACAAAGGGUUGCUACCUCGCGAGAGGAUGCUAAUCUCAAAAAAGCCGAUCGUAGUCCGGAUCGCAGUCUGCAACUCGACUGCGUGAAGUCGGAAUCGCUAGUAAUCGCGGAUCAGAAUGCCGCGGUGAAUACGUUCCCGGGCCUUGUACACACCGCCCGUCACACCAUGGGAGUUUGUUGCACCAGAAGUAGGUAGUCUAACCGCAAGGAGGACGCUUACCACGGUGUGGCCGAUGACUGGGGUGAAGUCGUAACAAGGUAGGCGUAGAUGA
rnacentral:rRNA from 1 species